GGAAUUCGACGGACGAGUUACAGACGUUACGGAUUCCGGCGAUGAUUAACAGUAAAUUAAGUACGUUUCCUACCCGCUGUAUGAAUUUGACAUGUAUUCGCUAUGUUCUUUAAUUGAGAAAAGAAUGAAACAGUUUUGCGCAUUUUUAAAUUUUGAAAUUUGGAGGGAAAUCAAAACUUUAAAAAAAAAAUGGGGGCGGAGAUCUUUGAGAAAGAAUCUCUGUUUAUUUUUUUCCUACGAUUUUCUUUUCCAUGAUGUUCGUUUUAAACCUCAAGAAUUCUACGUUAAGACACGCAAAUGCUAGCCAGAUGCUUGGCCUGUCUUUCUUUGGUAAAGAUAUGAGAGAGGCUAGUAAAACUAUUUCCAAUUUAAAUUUUAAAUGGUGUUAAGGUUUGUUAAUCUAUUUAUGGACAUAAUAAAUGAUUCUGCUGAUUGUUUUCUAGCAUCUGUUUUGUAAAUUGCAGAAUGAGGCAUGGAGAACACUCAGUUUGUAUUCAAAUUAUCACACAACUUGUUGAAGUCAUUUUCUAUUUGAAUAGGAUUUUAUAUUAUUUGAAUUAUUCUGUUGCUAGGUUAAUGCUGUGAUUUGAAUUAUUCUUUUAGUGAACUUCAGUUUUAUGUCUUUAUGAUCAAGGCAAAGAAGCUUCAACUCCAUCUUUUAAAUUCUAUCUGGAAAACUUUAUUUUACUAUUACUGAACUUUGUUGGAUUACUUAUAUGAAGUCUUAUUGCAGUAGCUUUAGAAGUAUUGUAACAAAUUGCUAUUGAUGUGUAUGGCUAUUGAUUAGUAAAUCUUGUAAACUGCGAAUUCAUUUUAGAUUACCCCUGUGAGAACGUUGGAGAAACCUGCCUGUUAUUUUGACAAUUGCAUUUCAUGUUUUUGUUUGUUCUGUUUAUUUGGAAAUACUUGUGACGAUGUUGUGUUAAUGAUACACCUGUUACCAUUUGUUUUCCAGAAGGGAAUGCUGGGGUUUUUGUUUACUUCAGUUAUCAUAAACAGCAUCUUGAUGAGUUUGAUAGUGCCAUUUGGUUUCCUUUUGGCUAUAUUUGAAUAGAUAAUACCUUCUUUCUUAUGAGGACAAGUUUGGGUUUGAUGCAGAGAUUCAGUAUAUAUCUCUAGUCAGAAUAUUGGUAUUGGUAGUCUCACAUUCAUGCCAGAAACCAUAUGAAAUCCAAGCACCACAAACGUGAUUGUUGAUAUAAAAGAAGCAUCGUCACCAUGAGUACAGGCACAACCAUUCAGAAAGGGCACACUGGUUAGUCUUAUUAUUGUCUGCAUAUUGUUCAAAAGGUAGAUGUGUCAAAAGUUGUAGAAUCAUACAGUACACUUGGAAUGGAGGAAAUUUGACUUCUGAUUGAACUGUUAGAUUACUCACGUUUGGAGUUGCAUUGCUAAGAAGUUCCUUUUUCCUCUUUAAUCCGAGAAAAUGGAUAUGUAAAAUUCUAAGAAUAAAGCCUAAUAUUCAGAAAGAAGAAAAAAAAACAGGAAAAGCUGUGAAAAAAUAUGACCCGUUAUAUCAUAUUUCUUUUCUUAUUUUCUUUUUCCAUUUUUCUCAGGUAUAUGAUGAGAUUACAAAAUUUAUAUACGACCAUUGGUGAAACUAUGAUUUAAUCUUGGUUGGAGCAGUGACCGAAUACAUUCUCUAUUUUCUA
rnacentral:lncRNA from 1 species